ACAAAAACAUUUUUUUUAAUUUUUUUUAAAGGUUUGUCCUGCUUUAUGAGGUUUUAAAUGGCCGCGGUAUUUUAACUGUGCUAAGGUAGCAUAAUAAUUAGUCUUUUAAUUGAGGUUUUGUAUGAAUGGAUAGACGAAGGAGUAACUUUAUUCAAUUUAUUCAAUUUAAUUUUAUGAUUUAGUUAAAAAGCUAAAGUGUUUGAGGGGGACGAUAAGACCCUAUAGAUCUUUAUUAUUUUUAUUCAUUUAUUUAUUUAGUCGUUUUUGCGUAAAAGUUUAUUUAGUGAUUUAGUUGGGGUGACUUAAAAAAAAUUAAACUUUUUUUUUUAUUAACAAUUAUUUUUGGGUAUUUUGAUCCUUAUGUAUUGAUUAUUAGAGUAAGAUACCUUAGGGAUAACAGCGUUAUUUAUUUGAAGAGUACAUAUUUAUAAAUAAGUUUGCGACCUCGAUGUUGAAUUAAGGAAAAGGAUUGGGGCAGAAGAUUAUUUU
rnacentral:rRNA from 1 species